GAUGAACGCUGGCGGCGUGCCUAAUACAUGCAAGUAGAACGCUGAAGGAGUAGCUUGCUCUUCUGGAUGAGUGGCGAACGGGUGAGUAACGCGUAGGUAACCUGCCUGUGAGCGGGGGAUAACUAUUGGAAACGAUAGCUAAUACCGCAUGACAACAGCUAUUGCAUGAUAACGGUUGAAAAGGUGCAACUGCUCCACUACCAGAUGGACCUGCGUUGUAUGAGCUAGUUGGUGAGGUAACGGCUCACGAAGGCGAGGAUACAUAGCCGACCUGCGAGGGGGGUCGGCCAGACUGGGAGUGUGACACGGCCCAGAGGCCCUCGGGAGGCAGCAGUAGGGAAUCGUGGGCAAUGGACGGAAGUCUGAGCGCGCAAGGCGGCGUGAGUGAAGAAGGUUUUCGGAUCGUAGAGCUCUGUUGUCAGAGAAGAACGAGUGUUAGAGUGGAAAGUUCACACUGUGACGGUAUCUUACAAGAAAGCGACGGCUAACUACGUG
rnacentral:rRNA from 1 species